CCAUGGUGCGAAAUCAAAGGCCAAAAGAAUGGAAAGAUGUACAUGUCAAAAAAACCCCACCAUUCACUUGAAAGAAGGUGAAGCUACUAUCUGCAUCUGCAGGAUUACCAGAAUGUGAUCUGGCUUUUGUGAUUGGAGUUUGCAGAAGAGGAUACUCUACACUAUGGAAGUAUUAGCAGAAAGCUAUCUAGAAUGCCUGGACUUGCCCCCAGUCCCACUUUGCCACAGGAACCUGAGCAUACAGCAGCUCCUCUCCACUGUGCUUGCACAAUCUCUGCAGGGAUCUCUCCAAUGGAUUUGGCCAACCCGUGUUCCUUAGUUUUUCACUGAAGCAGACUUAAGCUAGAACUCUUAUGAAGCCUUGACUGCAGGACUGCUUCUUCAGCUCUUUCACCACCAUCCUUUUGGUAAAGCCAAUUCUGUUUUUCUGGAAUUUUUAAAAAUGUUUCACCCAUCUAACCCAAGGUAGCUGGUCAGCACUUUGCCUGGGCUCACUUUAACCUGGAGAGUUGAUGACUCACAACUGACUUGGCAUUUACAGUGUGCCCGCUGCAGUUUGGUGUGUGCUGAAACUGCAAUGAGUGACAAUAUCCCCAAUUAGCGGCUUGAUAAUUCAUUUUUAAAGGUUCUACUUAAAUUUACUUUACAGCAGUCCUUAUUACAGACCAAGUUCAUCACCAAGAAAAAGCAUUGGAUUUAUUUUUCAUAGGCUAGACACUUAAUGAAUACAUCUGUUAUUUGGAAUUCAGAUGUUUGCAGAUAUAGGACUGGGGUUUACAGCUGCAAAAGAGAACAAGUUUUAGAAGACACUGAAACCACCUUGUGAGAAUUCUGCCAUUUAUAAACGUCCAAACGCAUACCACUCACUUGGACAAAGGCAAUAUAUCCAAAAGCAAAUUGAAUGAAUUGCACUGCCUGCUUUUAGGAAAAGAAUGUAUUUAUUCUUCAUAUGAAAUUGAGAUUUUCUCUCUGUCUAGUUAUGAAACAUCAAUUUAAACUUUAUAACAUAUUCACAUAUUUACAUAUGCAGCUUCAGACCUGUAUUGUUUGAAUAAAUGUGCACCUUUGCUGACAUGACUGUGGGCUGCAAUGCAGGCCAGAGGAGCCAUGUUCAGAUUGCUGGGGAAAAAAAUAACAAACAAUAGAUGAAUGGCUUGGAAACUUUAGUCCCAAGCUGGAAUCUGACAGUUCUAUAAACAAAGCUGCAUCUGUGUCACACUUGGAGGAUGACAGAGCGCUUAUACCAUCCUACAGUUAUUUGUCAGCUUAGGGAACAUUCAGUCAUUCAAAAAUUUAUUGGGGAAGAGUCAAAGAGUCUUGUCUUUUUGACCACCUCCUACAGAACGUCCUGGAUAAUGGCAGCAUCACCACGGUCACCCAAACAUGGGCUACACAGUGUGCCUGCUCGCAUGUGUUGCAGUAUAGUGAACACGUGCAGGGGGUGGUAAGCUGUAUUCUGAAAGCACUGCAUCCAUGGCUUGCAGCUAUCUAGCUCCUGUAAAUCACUGGCACAACAUUUUCAUGUUCAAAAUGCUCCAAGACAUUAGCGAAUGAAUGAAUCAAAAGAUGUUCUCAGGAAAAGCAAUAAGUAUACUCACACAGUCACAAUGGGAAUUUGAUCAUGCCCAAUACAACAGUGUAUCUGAAUCAAAGUGAGAGAUUUUCUUUCUGAAAGGGCUCCAUUUCUUAACAAAGCAACACUAUCACAGACAUUUUGUGAAUACUCUUACAACAACCACGAUUAAUAAAUACUGCUGGAUGCUAGUGGGGUACUAGGCUAGAAAUCAGGACAAGUGGAAUCUUACCUUUGUUCCUCUGACACAGUUAUGAGACACAUCCAGGAUUUUCCAGAGCAAGCAAUUCUGGAUAGCCAGCUUGCAAAGUAGUGCAUGACCCUGAGGUCUGGAAGGAACAGAAAACAGCUGUGUGUAAGGUGAGACACCAAACCACAAGUACCCUAAACCAGUGGUCACUUUUGGCCUAUUUAAUGUUUGCCAGCUUAGAUACUUAUUUUCUGAAUCAUAAUGAUUUCUUGUAAAGUAUUCUGAGGCUGCAAAAUGGAGACAGCUAUUAAAGAGACCUUUUUUUUUUGACUGUCAUUUUCUAUUCCUGCUGCUCUGGUGUUUGAUUACAUUUGAGACAUGGGAAUAUACAAAAGCACACGCUUAUUGUGGUGUGUUGUUUACAAGGUUAUUCUUGCACGUGCUCGCCUGCUUGCUCGCUCCCACAUACAGCCUCACUCCCAUUACUGUUACCAUUUCCAAGGCAAGGAGAUGCGCUGCUUUAUGGGCCAUCUGUCAGGCAGUGCCGGGGCACUGUAUAUUGAUGCCAUGUUUGUAGCUAUCUCUUAUUUGAAACAAAGUUCAGUUCAAAGCACUUCCAAGUAUAGAAAGGGGAGAAAAAAGAUGUUAAUGUGUUUAGAUUACAUUAAAGUUUUAAGAUUAACUAAAAGAAAGGGAGAAAAAAAGUCUGCUAAUGGGUAGAGCUCAGUGGAGAGGCAUUAUUAUAUUACUACUAAUGCACAUAAAGCAUCUCCUAUUAAAAAGGGAUGGCAGUUUUACAUCCUAUUAAAUAUAUCAAAGCUGUACUUCAAUUACAAAUCCUUUCAUAUGCAUGUUUUAACAAAUAUGUCUUUGAUAAUAGAGUGCAGCAGUAGCUUUUUAAAUGCUAAACAAGAUCCCUACAAUACAGCUCACAGAUAGAAAAGUACUAGAAGAAGGAAGGUCUAUUUGACAGGGAAGGGAGGGCUGUAUUUCAAUAUUUUCAUUGCCUCUGUAGCUCACAAGACAGAGUUUAUAAACCAUUCCAGAGAGCAUAGUAGGACAUUGAUAAAAUAGCACAACCUGCAAACAGUACACUGAAGGAGUUUGGCAAGCUGCUGUUGUUUUUCCACAUUGUUAUCUUGGAAAACAAGCUGUGUCCUAAUAAUGCAAGUAACAACAAAAAUAAAAGCAGGCCACGGUUGGCUGAGCCCUGUCUUGGAAAACGUAAAAUCUCAACCAGCACCCAAAAAAUGUAUCUUCCCUAAAGAGAGAAGAAUCCCUAUGAGCAGAGGAGGCUACGAGGUGACAACACGUGGUCCUGGCCUCGUGGGCUUACCUAGCGAGCAUCUCUUCCACAAAACACCAAAUAAACUCUGAUGCUGCCCUGGAAAACCCAAUUUUGUCUGCAGAGAUUGGGGAAAAAAGAAACAACAAACCCACAGCUGAAAGCUUACAAAUUAUGCAUGGAAGGAAGGAGUUGUUUCUCGAGCUAAGGAGAUGCUGAGAAAACAAAGCUGUCUCCUGAAGCGGGAGUUAAGGCAUCUUGCAUCAAAUGUGAAACCUACCUCUAAGAUCAUUGCAGCUAAGGUAACCACAAGCUCCUCAAGAACUGAAGAAAGCCUGUAGAAGAGGGAAGAAUCAAAAUCUGUGGUGCUUCAGCACAUUUUUAUGUGCUUGCUAGGCUGGGGAUGGAAUUUUUAAGGCAUGGAGUUGGAAUACUGGAAGAAGAAAGAAAACCUGUAUGGAGAACAGGAAUAUUGCACAGCUUCAAGAUAAAUCAACAUAACUAACGGCAAAUGAUACAGCAAGGAAGUACUUUAAAAAGCCAGAGCAGUAGUAGAGAGAUUUCUAAAUACAUAGCCUACAUGGACUGCAAACACCACGGCUGAAGAUAAACUUCUACUCUCACAUGCCAUGAGUAGCCAGAGAACAAAGUGAUAGAGAUGAAAGGAGGUACAGCAAGACAAACACACGCAAGUACACCACAGGACCUGCUGGUAAUAUGCCAUGCCACUAAAAGCCUAACCAAAGUAAGAGAAGCAAGGAAGACAGAACUUUUCACAGGGAUUCCCAGCUGCUCCCAAGAAGAGGACUUGGAGCAGGUGUCUGCUCCCAGAGAAAUAAUCAAGAAAGGUACAGCCUGUUCCCAAUGUUGUCAGUAGAGUGCUGUGUUGCUCUGCAUACUGUUACUUCUUCCUUGCCUCAGUUUCCCCACUAGCUGUCUGUACUGCCUGUGUAAAGAAGAACAUGAUCAAAUCAAUAAAUAAAGCAUGGGAACGAUCAGACGGGACACAGAACAGGACAGCAGGCCAGUCUCUGCCUGAGACUGGGCCCAGAGGAGCGUUACAAGGGUCCCACUCAUACUAAAAUUUCUUAAUAUUAAUGCAAAUUCUGGCAACAGAACAGAUGCUUCGAUAUCUGAGAAAAUGGUGGCUACAAUAAAGACCUUCUCAAUGCUUCAAGGUCUAAGCAGUCUCCCAAACACCUUUUUCUAACACCUCCUUGUCUCAUAGCUCCAAACAGUAAGGAAGUUAAAAAGAAAAGGCAUGAUCAAUAAUUAAAAGGCUGGAAAUGAACAAAUGGAAUGAAUUGCUCCAAGAAGGCUGAGGAGAGAAACCUGAGAAAUACCAUCUAUCUUUAUCUCUCAAUCUGGCAGAGGAUUUACAAACCAUCUUUAAAAAGAGAGAUUGUGAGGUUACAUAUUCACUGGUGCAGGUUUCUGAGCGAUGCCAGGUUUUUUAUUUUAUUUUUUUCUUUUUACAUUAUGCUUCCUCAUUUUAUGACACUUCUCAGACUUGAAUCAUUCACAGCAGAUGGCUCCAUGAAUACUGGAUAUUUCCAUAAAUAAUGACAGACUUCCCUUCAGUCUCCCCACCCUCCCUCCACUCCACAUGCCCAAAUCUUUUGUGUGCUAGCUGCAGAUACACAUUCAAAUUCUGGUCAGCAAACAAGCCUAUCUAGUGCCAUUGUCAUUCCUGCAAGCCCAGUAGAAUCAGUAAAACAAUGAACUUAUCAUCCCAUUUGAUUCAAGAGCGUUUUUUCCAAGCAAUCCUUAGAUAGAAGGGAAAUGCUACGCAGCAUUUAAUGAAAUUGAAUACUUUUAACACCGGAGAGCCACUGCGGAAAGUAUCCGAGUGCUCUGCAGCAGUGGGAAAUGCCGGAGAUAAGUGGUGAGCCAGCUUAGCCGCACAGUGAUGGCAGGGCAACGCUCAGGUCCUCUGAACACCUUUACCACCAAGGAAGCUCUGAGGUUACAGCGGGUGAGGAACUGGCCCCAAAUUUAGCUAUGGAGAUCCUGCUUGCACAAGAGGGACUUGCUAACAAAACAAGGAGCCUCACAAAAAGAAAGGGGUGCGAAAAUCCUCGUUAUUGGGUCAUUGUAUUUGUCUGAUCUACCUGCAAUAAAUGACACGUGAUGCUACUGUCAGAGAUAAAAGCAAGGUGGCUUUUAAUUCAGGACAUUAAGAGAAAAUAUUAAAAACUUCUUAUCAGAGCAAUAAUUUAUGGCUAACUUCAAAUGCUCAUAAUCUGCCAUCUACAUACAUUUCUAUCAAAUGACCCUGUAAAUAAUUAAUAGAUCUAAUUCUGUCAGUGUUGCCAGGGCAGGUUUCCCUGCAGAAGGUUAAUGCAAUGAUUUAAUUCUUUAUUUAUGUGAUUAGCAGCCCCAAUCAGGCUGUUUUAAUGAGGUCGCAGGCAGCGGAUUAUCUCAGGCGACUUGCCUGGCAGGAGCCCCAAGCGCCCCGUUCUUGUGGUACGUUGUACACUUUCUGUCCA
rnacentral:lncRNA from 1 species